UGAAUUUUCAGUUUUAUUUAUGGU
rnacentral:siRNA from 1 species